ensembl:lncRNA
CUUGAGGGGACGCCCAACCACCUGCUCUUACGACCGAAGGCCCCUGGACGCCGGGAUGCGCCCUCGAGCCGAGUCGUCCCCUUCCCGUGCAGAUGAACGGGCUUCCCUGGUGGCUCAGAUGGUAAAGAAUCCGCCUGCAAUGUGGGGAGACCUGGGCUCUGAUCCCUAAGUUGGGAAGAUCUGCUGGAGGAGGGCAUGCAACCCACUCCAGUAUUCCUGCCUGGAGAAUCCCCAUGGAGCAUGGUGGACUACAGUCCAUGGGUCCAAAGACUCAAACAGGACUGAUAAACACAGCACAGCAGGUAGCAGAUUAACAAUGUUGUGAUAGUUUCAGAUGGACAACAGAGGGCCUGAACCAUGCAUGUACAUGGGUCCGUUCUCACCCAAACUCCCUUCCCUUCCAGGCUUAUCAGAGUCACUCUUGCUUCACUUCCGCAGGCCUGGCUGUUUAAUGUCUUCCUGAUAGCUUAUGCUUAGCCUCAUUUUUUGUGUAGUUCUUGAAGGUACUUGCACAGUGGUGGUGGUGGUUCAGUCACUUCAGUCAUGUCUGACUCUUUGUGACCCCACGGACUGUAGCCCACCAAACUCCUCUGUACAUGGGAUUCUCCCUCCAACCCAUGGGAGUGGGUUGCCAUGUCUGCAUGGACAUGGGGAAUAAAGUACUGACAUACUUCUGUGACCUUCACAAAAAUCUAAGACAUCAGGGCAGCUGUUUUAUUGUCAUGAAAACAGAUUCCGAGGCCUUCUGGAUUCUUCUACCAUCCUUUGACUACAAUGAGUGUGGUUUACUGUGUAAUCCUUUAAGUGAAAAAAGAAAAAAAAUUUUUUUUUUCUGAAUGCAAGCCUGUGAAAGUGUCUGUCUGACUCUUUGCAACCCGAAAGACUGUAGCGCACCAGACUCCUCUGUCCAUGGAAUUCUCUAGGCAAGAAUAUUGGAGUGGGUUGCCAUUUCCUUCAACAGGGGAUCUUCCUGACCCAGUGAUUGAACCCAAGGAAGCCCAGCCAAACGCAUUUAGUGGCAUUUUGUGGAAAAUUGUAAUCAGGUCCAGAACAGUGGCUACCUGAUUUGACUGUCUGUACACAGUUGACAUGUAACAUGACUGGUAAGUGGUCACCCUGAGGGACAAAGCCAGAUGAAUGGAAAUUGCUCAAAGAACAAGUGUUUGCACAGGUAUAUUGCCAGCAGGUAAGCAUUCACAGUAGAGAGAUUUUCAACAGGAUUUUUGGUCUUUUUUUUUUUUUUUAAUAUGGAACACUUGCUGAAUUUGCAUGUCAUUCUUGCACAGGGACAUGCAAAUCUUUUCUGUAUCAUUCCAAUUUUACUAUAUGUGCUGCCAAAGCAAGCACACCCCUUUUUAUGCGGAAAGCAACGCCCAGUGAGAACUAGAUUCAUACUGGAGGGGAAAAGUCAUGGAUAUGGAUAAUGUGCACAAUCAGUGUCCCCGUGCUUCCUUGACUUAAAUGAGACCAGACAUCUGUACAAUUAGGGAAAUGCAUGAAGGGAUAGGAUUCUCUGGUGAUUCGGAAGGCAAAGAACCCACCUGCAAUGGAGGAAAGGAACAGAAAGAAAUCUUCCCAAUCCCUGGGUUGGGAAGAUUGCGUGGAGAAAGAAAUGGCAAUGCACUCCAGUGUUCUUGCCUGGAGAAUCCCAUGAACAGGGGAGCCUGGCGGGCUACAGUCCAUGGGGUCACAAAGAGUUGGACAGGACUGAGUGACUAAGCACACAGACGUGAA